GACGAACGCUGGCGGCGUGCUUAACACAUGCAAGUCGAACGGUGAAGCGCCUUCCUUUUUGGUGGGUGUGGAUGAGUGGCGAACGGGGGAGUAACACGUGAGUAACCUGCCCCCUUCUUCUGGAUAACCGCAUGAAAGAGUGGCUAACACGGGAUAUUCUGAGUCUGUCGCAUGAUGGGUCUGGGAAAGAUUUUGUUUCGGUGGGGGAUGGGGCCGCGGCUUAUCAGCUUGUUGGUGGGGUGAUGGCCUACCAAGGCGGUGAUGGGUAGCCGGCCUGAGAGGGUGGACGACCACACUGGUACGGAGACGCCGACCAGACUCCUACGGGAGGCAGCAGGGGGGAAUACUGCACGAUGGACGCAAGGCUGAUGCAACGACGCCGCGGUGAUGAUGGUCUCCUUCGCGUUGUGAACCUCUUUCGGCGGUGAAGCAGGCCUGACGCGUCUGUGCGUGUGUUGACGGUAGCUGGACAAAAAGCGCCGGCUAACUACGUG
rnacentral:rRNA from 1 species